rnacentral:rRNA from 1 species
AUGUCCAGCGACGCCAAACGCGCAGCCGCCGAGAAGACCGAGGCCGACAAGAAGGCCGCCGAGGACGCUUCUGCUGCUACUGCCACUGCGGCGGCGGCUUCUGCAUGGCCUACUGGAGGGUAUACCGCGUUUAUCCCUCUCCUGAUAAUUUCUGUAUUAGCAGUGCUAGCAUCAUGUGUAGAUUUGUCUACUAUUUGCGUAGUACGUGCUUGUUUAGAUCAGUACCAGUAUGUUGUUAGUUCUGUCAAUGACAUGCUAGUUAUCUACUUAUGGAUUAAAUUAGUCGAAAAAUUGUCUAUUUUCUUAGCAGUUAGAUACUACGUAUAG